rnacentral:lncRNA from 1 species
UUCCCGUCACUAUACCGUGUUUCCGGUUACUAAUAUGGAAUUUGUGACCGGAGCUCCCGUCACUGACUUGGUUACAAAAACACGCGUCACUAAAUUCUCAGUGACGGCGGCGAUUCCCGUCACUAACCUCCGUGACAGAACCGCCGUCACUAAGCCGUUACAAAUUCAAGAAUUAAAUAUUUAAGAAAUUAUGUAUUUUCC